UCCUGUCCACAUUCAAAUCUAUUCAUUAAUCUCUUACAAGGAAUUCGUUUCUUGUGAUUUGUGAGUAAUAUUGUCAAAUGGAAAGAUUCAAGAUGACCUUAUGCCUCUAACAACAGCAAGAGCCAUUGUCCUCAGCCCACAAAACAGAAAUUAAAUUGCAUGGAAUGCAUGGUAAGAGUGGAGAAAAGUCUCAAUGAUCUCACCAAUUCGGCUGUUCGAAUCAUGUCAUGAUGGCCUCCUGAGGAAAGCGCCUUAUAGAUGACAUGUGAUUCUUUGAAGGCAUCUGCUUCAAUGACUACAGCAUUUCCAGAUGCUCCUGCCCAGAAAGGUCUGUUUAAAUUUCAUUCAUAAAGAAACAACAUUAGGUUCUUAUAACCGUUUAUUUUGACAAUUUCAUGAUGAGUCUUGUACAUCAAAACUCAAAAACUAGAUAGCGUAAAUGUAAUGGGCUAAACUAGAUAACAAUUUCAUGUCGCUUCAUUUAAGUGUUAGAUAAUAUGUAAUGGGCCAUUUGUUAUAAUUGGACUAAGGGUAGUUUAGCCUAUUUAUGCCUUACGAUAUAUUCUUAGAGUAACUUUUGUAUUCUCAUGAGUUGCUAUUUUGAUUGAAACCCUAGCUCCCUUUGUUCUGUCUCUUA